AUGGUGGUAACGACUCACUCAAGUUCUGCAUCUCAAGUUCAUGAAGGCAUGGAAGAUUUUCUCAAUGUCCCAGAUUGUGACAACACCGACAGUUACAAAGAGCCUCCAUCUGAAUCCCAUCGCACUCCAAGCCCGUGGCCUCAAAGGAUCCGUCUCGGUAAGAUACCUGACCGCCACGCCUCAUUGUUGGGAAGGAAAAGUGCUUUGAAGAAGGCCAUGAGAAACUUCGCAGAUAAGAAGUCAGCUAUCAUCGUCAAGCCAGAGAUCAGUCAGGAAUUUGACUCUCUGGACGAAGUGUACGACUUCUACAAUCUAUACUCUUGGGAGACUGGUUUUGGCAUCAAGUAUGGGCAAUGCAUAAGAAAUGUUGACAAGUGCAAGACGGUCCAGGACAUAGUAUGUGGAUGCGCGGGGAAACCACGUAGGGAGAAUUCACAUUCAGUAUGCUGCCAAUGUCCUGCACUUAUGAGGUUGCAUCGCACAUCAGACCAUGGCUGGUUCAUCCAUGAAAUGAAGUAUGAGCAUAAUCACGGUAUGACACAAACAUGUGGAGAGAAGUUGCACUAG
rnacentral:rRNA from 1 species